GGGCCCGUAGCUCAGCCUGGUUAGAGCGCCGGUCUUAUAAACCGGAGGUCCCUGGUUCAAAGCCCUUUCUUUUCUGUGCAAUCUGUGUAAAGAAAGUACAGACAAAGAAAGCGGAGGAAAUCCGGGCGGGCCCA
rnacentral:tRNA from 1 species